rnacentral:tRNA from 1 species
GUAAAUAUAGUUUAACAAAAACAUUAGAUUGUGAAUCUAAUAACAAAAGUGCAAAUCUUUUUAUUUACC